CAGGGGCUCUCUUCAAAUGGAAAUGUACACACCACAGUUUGGUCGAGUAUCUGAAUAUUUCCAAUGACAACAAGCUCCUGUUAUAUACCAGACCGAAGAAGAACUGGAGGGAACCAUUGGAUGUCCAGCUGGAUUUUACUCUCGUUUCUAUCCUGGCAGUGGUAGAAAAGUUGCAGGUGAUAACAACUUAUUUCUGGCUGUUUGUGAAAUGGAAAAAUGAUUUUGUAUCUUGGGAUCCUUCCGAUUUCUGUAAUAUUACCCAUCUGACUCUGCCAGCGGAUAAAUUCUGGAUACCUGAAAUCUCUAUAGAAGAACAGUAAGGAUGAUUUGUUGCACUGCUAACUUCUCUGGAGCUAUGUUUUACUGUUUGAAAUAUUUCUCCAUUGUAAACACUGAAGAGGUUUUCACACUGAGUAGUAUGAUUAACCUUUGGAGAAUGUACCAAAUAUUUUGCCUGAAAUUGGGACGAGAAAGUAAGUUUUUCACAGUAUAAACUAAACAAAUUGCAAAAAUGAUGUUGUUGCCAUUCCAAUCAGUCAA